GGUUCCAUGGUGCAUCGGUCAGCACACCGCCCUGUCACGGCGGAGGGACGGGUUCGAUUCCCGUUGGGACCGCCA
rnacentral:tRNA from 1 species